rnacentral:rRNA from 1 species
UCUACAGGCUUAACACAUGCAAGUCGAGGGGCAGCAUGGUCUUAGCUUGCUAAGGCCGAUGGCGACCGGCGCACGGGUGAGUAACACGUAUCCAACCUGCCGUCUACUCUUGGACAGCCUUCUGAAAGGAAGAUUAAUACAAGAUGGCAUCAUGAGUCCGCAUGUUCACAUGAUUAAAGGUAUUCCGGUAGACGAUGGGGAUGCGUUCCAUUAGAUAGUAGGCGGGGUAACGGCCCACCUAGUCUUCGAUGGAUAGGGGUUCUGAGAGGAAGGUCCCCCACAUUGGAACUGAGACACGGUCCAAACUCCUACGGGAGGCAGCAGUGAGGAAUAUUGGUCAAUGGGCGAGAGCCUGAACCAGCCAAGUAGCGUGAAGGAUGACUGCCCUAUGGGUUGUAAACUUCUUUUAUAAAGGAAUAAAGUCGGGUAUGGAUACCCGUUUGCAUGUACUUUAUGAAUAAGGAUCGGCUAACUCCGUGCCAGCAGCCGCGGUAAUACGGAGGAUCCGAGCGUUAUCCGGAUUUAUUGGGUUUAAAGGGAGCGUAGAUGGAUGUUUAAGUCAGUUGUGAAAGUUUGCGGCUCAACCGUAAAAUUGCAGUUGAUACUGGAUAUCUUGAGUGCAGUUGAGGCAGGCGGAAUUCGUGGUGUAGCGGUGAAAUGCUUAGAUAUCACGAAGAACUCCGAUUGCGAAGGCAGCCUGCUAAGCUGCAACUGACAUUGAGGCUCGAAAGUGUGGGUAUCAAACAGGAUUAGAUACCCUGGUAGUCCACACGGUAAACGAUGAAUACUCGCUGUUUGCGAUAUACUGCAAGCGGCCAAGCGAAAGCGUUAAGUAUUCCACCUGGGGAGUACGCCGGCAACGGUGAAACUCAAAGGAAUUGACGGGGGCCCGCACAAGCGGAGGAACAUGUGGUUUAAUUCGAUGAUACGCGAGGAACCUUACCCGGGCUUAAAUUGCAGAUGAAUUACGGUGAAAGCCGUAAGCCGCAAGGCAUCUGUGAAGGUGCUGCAUGGUUGUCGUCAGCUCGUGCCGUGAGGUGUCGGCUUAAGUGCCAUAACGAGCGCAACCCUUGUUGUCAGUUACUAACAGGUUCCGCUGAGGACUCUGACAAGACUGCCAUCGUAAGAUGUGAGGAAGGUGGGGAUGACGUCAAAUCAGCACGGCCCUUACGUCCGGGGCUACACACGUGUUACAAUGGGGGGUACAGAGGGCCGCUACCACGCGAGUGGAUGCCAAUCCCCAAAACCUCUCUCAGUUCGGACUGGAGUCUGCAACCCGACUCCACGAAGCUGGAUUCGCUAGUAAUCGCGCAUCAGCCACGGCGCGGUGAAUACGUUCCCGGGCCUUGUACACACCGCCCGUCAAGCCAUGGGAGCCGGGGGUACCUGAAGUGCGUAACCGCGAGGAGCGCCCUAGGGUAAAACUGGUGACUGGGGCU